rnacentral:rRNA from 1 species
AGAGUUUGAUCCUGGCUCAGGACGAACGCUGGCGGCGUGCCUAAUACAUGCAAGUCGAGCGAGCGGAACCAACAGAUUUACUUCGGUAAUGACGUUGGGAAAGCGAGCGGCGGAUGGGUGAGUAACACGUGGGGAACCUGCCCCUAAGUCUGGGAUACCAUUUGGAAACAGGUGCUAAUACCGGAUAAUAAAGCAGAUCGCAUGAUCAGCUUUUGAAAGGCGGCGUAAGCUGUCGCUAAGGGAUGGCCCCGCGGUGCAUUAGCUAGUUGGUAAGGUAACGGCUUACCAAGGCGACGAUGCAUAGCCGAGUUGAGAGACUGAUCGGCCACAUUGGGACUGAGACACGGCCCAAACUCCUACGGGAGGCAGCAGUAGGGAAUCUUCCACAAUGGACGCAGUCUGAUGGAGCAACGCCGCGUGAGUGAAGAAGGUUUUCGGAUCGUAAAGCUCUGUUGUUGGUGAAGAAGGAUAGAGGUAGCAACUGGCCUUUAUUUGACGGUAAUCAACCAGAAAGUCACGGCUAACUACGUGCCAGCAGCCGCGGUAAUACGUAGGUGGCAAGCGUGUGUCCGAUUUAUUGGGGCUUAACCAGCCCCAGCCGCUUUCUUUAAGUUCUGAAUUGGAAGCCCUUCGGCCUUAACCCGGGGAAAGGUGCCAUCCGGAACUUGGAGGACCUUGAGUGCCAGAUAGAGGGACCAGUGGAACUCCCAUGUGUAAGCGGUGAAUUGCGUAGAUAAUAUGGAAGAACACCCAGUGGCGAAGCCGGCUGUUCUGGUCUGUAACCUGACGCUGAGGCCUCGAAGCAUGGGUAGCGAACAGGAUUAGAUACCCUGGUAGUCCAUGCCCGUAACCGAUGAAUGCUAGGUGUUGGAGGGUUUCCGCCCUUCAGUGCCGCAGCUAACCGCAUUAAGCAUUCCGCCUGGGGAGUACGACCGCAAGGUUGAAACUCAAAGGAAUUGACCGGGGGCCCGCACAAGCGGUGGAGCGUGUGGUUUAAUUCGAAGCUACGCGAAGAACCUUAGCAGGUCUUGACAUCUUGCGCUAACCUAAGAGAUUAGGCGUUCCCUUCGGGGACGCAAUGACAGGUGGUGCAUGGCUGUCGUCAGCUCGUGUCGUGAGAUGUUGGGUUAAGUCCCGCAACGAGCGCAACCCUUAUUGUCAGUUGCCAGCAUUUAGUUGGGCACUCUGGCGAGACUGCCGGUGACAAACCGGAGGAAGGUGGGGAUGACGUCAAGUCAUCAUGCCCCUUAUGACCUGGGCUACACACGUGCUACAAUGGAUGGUACAACGAGUCGCAAACUCGUGAGGGCAAGCUAAUCUCUUAAAGCCAUUCUCAGUUCGGACUGUAGGCUGCAACUCGCCUACACGAAGUCGGAAUCGCUAGUAAUCGCGGAUCAGCAUGCCGCGGUGAAUACGUUCCCGGGCCUUGUACACACCGCCCGUCACACCAUGAGAGUUUGCAACACCCAAAGUCGGUUCGGUAACCUUCGGGAGCCAACCGCCUAAGGUGGGGCAGAUGAUUAGGGUGAAGUCGUAACAAGGUAACC